ACCCAGUCCUCGCGCUGUUGGGGUUCCGUUCACCAUUCGUUUGGCCCUUGAUUAGGUUUAAUGUUUAGUGAGGGCCUACUCUAUGCUGCUUUGGGGAACAGUUCGGUGGAGGGAGCCCUAAGAUGGACUUCAAGAGCGAGCCUCCAGUAGGAGGCCGCUCGGCCUCCCUAUACUACCACCGGUCCUUGACAAACGGGCCCUCCCCCCCUUCCUCCUGGGGUCUCCACCCCUAGGUGCCAGGGCAGACACCCUUUCCUUAGCCGGAGGCUGAGGCCACCGUGAAAUAGCAGCCCUCAAGCACGGAGCAGCAUCUGGAGAAGAAUCACCUAGUAAAUUUGGACUGCUUGGGAGGAGGACCUAUUCCUCACGCCCACCGACUUUUUUCAAAAGUCCAAAUGAGGAAGGAAAUCGGCGUAUUUUGAGCACAUAUUUCGAGUUCUGAGGAACAUGGAAGAAUGCAGCCCCUUUUAAUACACAGUGGAAAGCAUAAAGAUGUAAGGAAUCAUCAGGUGCUGUGGGAGCCUGGAGGACUGUCCUUUGAUCCAGCUUCAGAGAGGGGCAGGGGUUUCCUGGAAGAUAUAAAUAUCCAGAUAUCUCAUGAAGUGGAAUCAUCCAGGGGAGCCUGGCUCUCUCAGUGGGUAGAGCAUGUGACUCUUGAUCUCUGGAUUGUAUGUUCAAGCCCCACACUGGGUGUAGAGAUUACUUAAAAAUAAAGUCUUUCUUUUUAAU